AAAGAAUGAAAUAUUUAUUAUAGUAAAAAAAAGUUGUACAAUUACUAAUGUAGCAUUUCUACACUAAAAACUAAAUGAAAUGAAUUCAACAAAUGUAAGUCACCGUACGGCCUUCAACAACGAGAAAGAAAAACCAUACCGAAAACUAACGGCCUGAAUAUAGGUGAAAACUUUUGCACUAUUUAUCCCGACGACAAUGCCUACAAUAGAAAAAACACA
rnacentral:lncRNA from 1 species